rnacentral:rRNA from 1 species
AACCGACACAGGUAGGCGAGCAGAGCAUGCUAAGGCGCGCGGAAUAACUCUCGUUAAGGAACUCGGCAACAUGACCCCGUAACUUCGGGAGAAGGGGUGCCUCGGUAGGGUGAAUAGCCCGAGGGGGCCGCAGUGAAAAGGCCCAAGCGACUGUUUAGCAAAAACACAGGUCUGUGCGAAGCCGUAAGGCGAAGUAUACGGGCUGACGCCUGCCCGGUGCUGGAAGGUUAAGGGGAGCGGUUAGGAGCAAUCCGAAGCUGUGAACCGAAGCCCCAGUAAACGGCGGCCGUAACUAUAACGGUCCUAAG